rnacentral:piRNA from 1 species
UUGACUUUCAGAUUGUGACUUCUUCCCCUUC